UACGACGUAUCAGAGUUUGAUCCUGGCUCAGGAUGAACGCUGGCGGCGUGCUUAACACAUGCAAGUCGAACGGACUUUUAAUGAAACCUAGUGAUUUAAAGUUAGUGGCGGACGGGUGAGUAACGCGUGGGUAACCUGCCAUAUACAGGGGGAUAACACUUAGAAAUAGGUGCUAAUACCGCAUAAGCGCACGGUAUCGCAUGAUACAGUGUGAAAAACUCCGGUGGUAUAUGAUGGACCCGCGUCUGAUUAGCUAGUUGGUGAGGUAACGGCCCACCAAGGCGACGAUCAGUAGCCGGCCUGAGAGGGUGAACGGCCACAUUGGGACUGAGACACGGCCCAA
rnacentral:rRNA from 1 species